rnacentral:rRNA from 1 species
UACGGAGGGUGCAAGCGUUGUCCGGAAUCACUGGGCGUAAAGGGCGCGUAGGCGGCUCAUGAAGGCUGUGGUGAAAGUCCGGGGCUCAACCUCGGAUCGGCCGUGGCGACUCGUGGGCUGGAGCACUGUAGAGGCGGGUGGAAUUCCGGGUGUAGCGGUGGAAUGCGUAGAGAUCCGGAAGAACACCAGUGGCGAAGGCGGCCCGCUGGGCAGUGGCUGACGCUGAGGCGCGAAGGCGUGGGGAGCGAACGGG